CAGAAAAACACAGAGUGGAAGGUGGGCUGCUGGAGAGAGAAGGGAAAGGAGACGUCAGGGGACAGGAGGGAUUCAAAUGGAGAGGAGGAUCCAGCUGGUCACGGCCCACUACCCUGGGACACAGCCUGCCCCUUGAAAAGCCCUGGUCUGGUUGGAGGAAAAAGGCAUAGGUGCCAACAUGGUGCUGGCCAAGCUUCUCUUCCUGAUUUUACUCCUCAUAACUUCUUCCCUCCGGCGCGAACUCGCACCC